rnacentral:misc_RNA from 1 species
GAUGAAGAACGCAGCAAAAUGCGAUAAGUAAUGUGAAUUGCAGAAUUCAGUGAAUCAUCGAAUCUUUGAACGCACAUUGCGCCCGCUGGUAUUCCGGCGGGCAUGCCUGUUCGAGCGUCAUUUCAACCCUCAAGCCCCCGGGUUUGGUGUUGGGGAUCGGCUCUGCCCUUCUGGGCGGUGCCGGCCCCGAAAUACAUUGGCGGUCUCGCUGCAGCCUCCAUUGCGUAGUAGCUAACACCUCGCAACUGGAACGCGGCGCGGCCAUGCCGUAAAACCCCAACUUCUGAAUGUUGACCUCGGAUCAGGUAGGAAUACCCGCUGAACUUAAGCAUAUCAAUAAGCGGAGGA